UUAAGGGCAAGUAGGUGAGCAGUGCGCAUGUGUGAGAGGCGGUCCCGUGUAGAUAGAUACAUCUGGAGACCUGCUCAUUGUCAGCUGAAUGCAGUUCUUGAAUGGGGAAAUAGCCGAAGUGCAGUUGUGGUGAAAGUGAACCGAAGCAAGCUGAAGACAACGAUCACAAACCAUAAUGAGUGUGGUAUAACCAGAAGCAGAGGAUAUCAGUAAAUCCUUUAAACUAUGAGUAACCGCUCUUUCAUUACUGUGGCAGACUAUCUACGGGAAAUCCCACAAGGUUCCUGUGCCUCUGAUGAUGUCACUUCCAUUUCCGG